UACGAAGGGGGCUAGCGUUGUUCGGAAUUACUGGGCGUAAAGCGUAUGUAGGCGGAUCGUUAAGUCGGGGGUGAAAGCCCGAGGCUCAACCUCGGAACUGCCUUCGAUACUGCGGGUCUCGAGUCCGGGAGAGGUGAGUGGAAUUCCUAGUGUAGAGGUGAAAUUCGUAGAUAUUAGGAAGAACACCAGUGGCGAAGGCGGCCCCGCUGGGGCAGGAAGGGCCCC
rnacentral:rRNA from 1 species